rnacentral:pre_miRNA from 1 species
AGCCUUCUUUAUCCGUGCUGAGAUUUCGUCAUACGCCAGACCACAAGGGGUGAUGAGACUCCCAAGAUAAGAGUAAUU